GUAACAAGGUCUCCGUUGGUGAACCAGCGGAGGGAUCAUUACCGAGUUAUACAACUCCCAAACCCACUGUGAACCUUACCUCAGUUGCCUCGGCGGGAACGCCCCGGCCGCCUGCCCCCGCGCCGGCGCCGGACCCAGGCGCCCGCCGCAGGGACCCCAAACUCUCUUGCAUUACGCCCAGCGGGCGGAAUUUCUUCUCUGAGUUGCACAAGCAAAAACAAAUGAAUCAAAACUUUCAACAACGGAUCUCUUGGUUCUGGCAUCGAUGAAGAACGCAGCGAAAUGCGAUAAGUAAUGUGAAUUGCAGAAUUCAGUGAAUCAUCGAAUCUUUGAACGCACAUUGCGCCCGCCAGCAUUCUGGCGGGCAUGCCUGUUCGAGCGUCAUUUCAACCCUCGAGCCCCCCCGGGGGCCUCGGUGUUGGGGGACGGCACACCAGCCGCCCCCGAAAUGCAGUGGCGACCCCGCCGCAGCCUCCCCUGCGUAGUAGCACACACCUCGCACCGGAGCGCGGAGGCGGUCACGCCGUAAAACGCCCAACUUUCUUAGAGUUGACCUCGGAUCAGGUAGGAAUACCCGCUGAACCUAAGCAUAUC
rnacentral:misc_RNA from 1 species